GAUGAACGCUGGCGGCGUGCCUAAUACAUGCAAGUCGAGCGAACGGACGAGAAGCUUGCUUCUCUGAUGUUAGCGGCGGACGGGUGAGUAACACGUGGAUAACCUACCUAUAAGACUGGGAUAACUUCGGGAAACCGGAGCUAAUACCGGAUAAUAUUUUGAACCGCAUGGUUCAAAAGUGAAAGACGGUCUUGCUGUCACUUAUAGAUGGAUCCGCGCUGCAUUAGCUAGUUGGUAAGGUAACGGCUUACCAAGGCAACGAUGCAUAGCAGACCUGAGAGGGUGAUCGGCCACACUGUAACUGAGACACGGUCCAGACGCCUACGGGAGGCAGCAGUAGGGAAUCUUCCGCAAUGGGCGAAAGCCUGACGGAGCAACGCCGCGUGAGUGAUGAAGGUCUUCGGAUCGUAAAACUCUGUUAUUAGGGAAGAACAUAUGUGUAAGUAGCUGUGAACAGCUUGACGGUAACUAAUCAGAAAGCCACGGCUAACUACGUG
rnacentral:rRNA from 1 species